AUGGGGGAAAAAAAAGUCCUAGGAGAAAGCGACGUGGCUCAUUAGUGUUGCCUCUUCAGUGCUCAAGCCGCCUGGUGGAUUCCUAUGACACAGGGGGCCUGGAAAGAAAGGGAAAGUGGAUUUAAAAUAUAUAUAUACGUAACCCAAGCCCCAUAACCCCUAACUGGACAAAUGAGGUCUGUUUCUUUGGGCCUGAGGCUGUGCCAUAUAAAGUCUUAUUUUGGGACUUUACAAACUUGUCCUAACUAUCUUGUGGAUAGUGGGCUGUGACAAUCUGGAAUAGAGAACGUUCACACUUCGCUCCUUUAAAGAAGCGACCCCAGAUCUGCAAGAUGGGGUCUUGCUCUUUUGCCCAGGCUGGUCUCAAACUCUUGGGCUCAAGCAGUCUUCCCUCCUUGGGCUCCCAAAGUGCUGGAAUUACAGGGAGUAGAUUCUGCUAUCUUGGCCUCACAGCCCUUCCUGUUGAUUACAAAGCCCGUGGAAGAAAACAGAACACACCCUCCUCAGUUCCGUCUAAAUGUGUUUCUUCUG
rnacentral:lncRNA from 10 species